UUUUCCUUAGUUUAUUAAAAUACCAAAUUUGGGUUUUGGAGAUAUAGGAAAAA
rnacentral:tRNA from 1 species